rnacentral:ribozyme from 1 species
UGCCCAGCAACUCGUAUCCCUACCUCCUCGUGGUACUGGCCGGGGUACGAGUAACCUUAGGGAAGAUCGGGUAACAAAACUCGGUGGGAGCUUUGGUCGUAUGCUGACAGGGAAAG